UCUGCUGUGGCGAAAUUGGCAGACGCGAUGCACUUCUAAUGCAUGUCCGGAAGGAGUACAGGUUCGAGUCCUGUCAGCAGAGA